GCCAAGCGCUCACCAUUCUGCAGAAUAAGGAUCAGAACUUUACUGAGCUAAACUGGGUCUGUUCUUUUUACAGACUGCUGCUCACGGACAGAAGAGAUGGACUUCAACCAUCAAUAGCCAGGCUAGAGACCAUGUUGUGGAGCCUUCGGUGGACAAGCGGUCAUUUGAUUGAUGAAGAGAUGACCAGCAAUCUAAUUGCUGUUGCAGAGGAGUUCCUACAAGAGGCAAAUGACAUCCAACAACGGGAACCUUACGAAAAUGGCA